CGUGGGAACAUACCUUUUGGUACGGAAUAGCCCUUGGAAACGAGGAGUAAUACCGUAUGAGCCCUUAGGGGGAAAGAUUUAUCGCCAAAAGAUUGGCCCGCGUUAGAUUAGCUAGUUGGUGGGGUAAAGGCCUACCAAGGCGACGAUCUAUAGCUGGUUUGAGAGGAUGAUCAGCCACACUGGGACUGAGACACGGCCCAGACUCCUACGGGAGGCAGCAGUGAGGAAUAUUGGACAAUGGGGGGCAACCCUGAUCCAGCCAUGCCGCGUGAGUGAAAAAGGCCUUAGGGUUGUAAAGCUUUUUUCAAAGUGAAGAAGAAUGACUGUUACUUCAAAAGAAGCCCCGGCUAACUUUCGGGGGGGGGGGGGGGGGGAACCCCCCCCCCCCGCUAGGGGUUGUUUGGAAUUACUGGGCGUAAGGGGCUGUGAGGCGGAUGAAUUUAGUUGGGCGUGAAAGCCCAGGGCUAAACCCUGGGAACUUGCGCUCAAUAUGGGUCAACUAAAAUCCCG
rnacentral:rRNA from 1 species